rnacentral:tRNA from 1 species
UCCCUAGUGGCUCAGACGGUAAAGCGUCUGCCUGCAAUGCAGGAGACUUGGGUUCAAUCCCUGGGUCAGGAA